GCCCCCGUAGCCCAACGGCAGAGGCGACGGAUUCAAGUCCCGUUCAGUGUGCGUUCGAAUCGCACCGGGGGCA
rnacentral:tRNA from 1 species